AGUCGAGGGGUAUAUUUCUUCGGAGAUAGAGACCGGCGCACGGGUGCGUAACGCGUAUGCAAUCUACCUUUCACAGAGGGAUAGCCCAGAGAAAUUUGGAUUAAUACCUCAUAGUAUAUAGAGUUGGCAUCAACAUUAUAUUAAAGUCACAACGGUGAAAGAUGAGCAUGCGUCCCAUUAGCUAGUUGGUAAGGUAACGGCUUACCAAGGCUACGAUGGGUAGGGGUCCU
rnacentral:rRNA from 1 species